rnacentral:rRNA from 1 species
AUUGAACGCUGGCGGUAUGCCUAACACAUGCAAGUCGUACGAGAGUUUUUAACUCUAGUGGCGGACGGGUGAGUAACACGUGAGAAUUUGCCUUUAGGAGGGGGAUAACAAUUGGAAACGAAUGCUAAUACCCCAUAUGCUUUUGAGUGAAAUGGAUUUUAUCCGCCUAGAGAGAAGCUCGCGGCUGAUUAGCUUGUUGGUAAGGUAAGAGCUUACCAAGGCGACGAUCAGUAUCUGGUUUGAGAGGACGAUCAGACACACUGGAACUGAGACACGGUCCAGACUCCUACGGGAGGCAGCAGUGGGGAAUUUUCCGCAAUGGGCGAAAGCCUGACGGAGCAAUACCGCGUGAGGGAAGAAUGCCUAUGGGUUGUAAACCUCUUUUUUCAGGGAGGAAUCAAAUGACGUGUACCUGAAGAAUAAGCAUCGGCUAACUCCGUG